GGUUUCUGCUUCACACCCUAAAGAUGGCAACGGUUCCAUAGCACAGAGUCUCUCCUGGGAUCUCUCCUGGGAGGAAGAAGAGCCUACAGAGGGGCGACUUCUAAGACUUCUAAGGGGAAAGAGAACAGAGAACAGGUGUUGUCUCGGAGCAAAAACCUCCCUGCGAAAACUCUCCAAGGCCCUGCGUCUCAUGCAUUAAGCUAUUAGAGCCGUCAA
rnacentral:lncRNA from 1 species